UACGUAGGGGGCGAGCGUUGUCCGGAAUCAUUGGGCGUAAAGAGCGCGUAGGCGGCCAGAUAAGUCCGCUGUGAAAACUCGAGGCUCAACUUCGAGCUGUCGGCGGAAACUAUCUGGCUAGAGUCCGGAAGAGGAGAGUGGAAUUCCUGGUGUAGCGGUGAAAUGCGCAGAUAUCAGGAAGAACACCCGUGGCGAAGGCGGCUCUCUGGGACGGUACUGACGCUGAGACGCGAAAGCGUGGGGAGCAAACAGG
rnacentral:rRNA from 1 species